rnacentral:rRNA from 1 species
UACGGAGGGGGCUAGCGUUGUUCGGAAUUACUGGGCGUAAAGCGCACGUAGGCGGCUUUUUAAGUCAGGGGUGAAAUCCCGGGGCUCAACCCCGGAACUGCCCUUGAAACUGGAGAGCUAGAAUCUUGGAGAGGCGAGUGGAAUUCCGAGUGUAGAGGUGAAAUGCGUAGAUAUCGUAAGGAAGACCAGUGGCGAAGGCGAAUCUCUGGACAGUUACUGACACUGAGGCACGAAGGCCAGGGGAGCAAACGGG